GUUCUGCAAGAGAGUGUUUGAAUGUCUAUUCUCUUCUACUUGUUACCUUACAAGUAGCUUGAUUCGGUGAUCAGACUCCUCGGCUUCAGCUCUGAAGAUUGGAAGUUCAAGAUCCGGCUGCCAACAUGGUGAAGUUCUGGAGUAGACUAUUUGGAACGGGGGUCGGGGGGAACACCUCCUGGAUCUUUCAGACUGUUUUCAGUCUCUGAAAGUAGAAGUAACAGAGGAGAUAGAAGAACAACAAAUGGUGGAAUGGUGGUGCUUUGAGGAGGCGGGGCACGAGGACUGUCAUGCGGAAGCAGCGAAAUACACUUGCCUUCGUGGUGUGCAGGGGCGACACUCAGCCCAGCAACGACGUGGAAUAUUUCCAGAUUCAAAUCCAGCUGUACAAACUACCACUACAGCAAGCAGUCCUCGCUUACCACCCCCCACCCCCGCCCCGUCCCUGCCCAGCC